UGGGGAAUAUUGGACAAUGGGCGCAAGCCUGAUCCAGCCAUGCCGCGUGGAUGAUGAAGGCCCUAGGGUUGUAAAGUCCUUUCGACGGGGAAGAUAAUGACGGUACCCGUAGAAGAAGCCCCGGCUAACUUCGUGCCAGCAGCCGCGGUAAUACGAAGGGGGCUAGCGUUGCUCGGAAUCACUGGGCGUAAAGCGCACGUAGGCGGACUCUUAAGUCGGUGGUGAAAUCCUGGAGCUCAACUCCAGAACUGCCUUCGAUACUGAGAGUCUCGAGUCCGAGAGAGGUGAGUGGAACUGCGAGUGUAGAGGUGAAAUUCGUAGAUAUUCGCAAGAACACCAGUGGCGAAGGCGGCUCACUGGAUCGGUACUGACGCUGAGGUGCGAAAGCGUGGGGAGCAAACAGGAUUAGAUACCCCAGUAUUCCCUGAGCGGGCUGGCAAGGCGCAU
rnacentral:rRNA from 1 species